CCUCGGUCUGACGUUCGAAUGGCGUAUGAACAGGAGCAACGCGGACUCGGGAGUCCUCCAUCCAGCCUCCUUUAUAAGGGCCGCUCGUGUCUCCGAGUUCAACCCUCCCUCCCAACCUCCUCUCUUCGCUCGGCAAAGCCCUAACCCAUCGUCCAGCCGUCCGACGCAACUCACCUGUUUCGCGAGCUGCCGACUUGUCUCGCCGGUCACCGAUUCAAGCACACCCACAGAAUCAGGUCUUUCAUGUGCUCGGUGUGGCAAACCAGCUUAUCUUCAAAGUUGGAAAUUCGAGUUACUUGGUGACAUGCCAUAUAAUUUGCAUCUCUGUCUACCAUUGUCACAAAAGGGAAGAUGUCCCAAAUGUGUAGAGCUAAAGCUGCCUCAAGAAGGUUCUACAUUCUGCACGCAGGAUUGCUUUAAAAUUUCAUGGAGCUCUCACAAGUUGGUGCAUCCGAAAUCAAAGUUAGCAAAUGUUAGAAGUGCACAUUCUGAACAAUCUCUAGAUGGUUGGCUAUAUUGCUUAAAGAAUGGCCAAGCUCGAACAUCUAAGCUUCCUCAUUUUGGUUGGACAGGAGCAUUAAGGCCGUGCCCAAUAUCCAAGCGGCGUUUGGUACCAGAUGGAGUUGAGAAACCUGAUUGGUCUAUUGAUGGUAUCCCCAAGACUGAGCUCAAUAGUGACUUGCAGAAUAUUGUGGAGAUCAAGACGCCAGAGCAAAUUGAACUAAUGAGAGAAACAUGCCGAAUUGCUAGGGAGGUUUUAGAUGCCGCUGCUUGUAUCAUCCGACCGGGAAUUACCACAGAUGAAAUUGAUGAGGUUGUUCAUCAGGCAACAAUUGCUGCUGGAGGGUACCCAUCCCCAUUAAACUAUCAUUUCUUUCCAAAGUCCUGCUGCACGUCUGUCAAUGAAGUUAUCUGCCAUGGAAUCCCAGAUGCAAGGAAACUCAAAGAUGGUGACAUUGUCAAUGUUGAUGUAACUGUAUAUUACAAAGGCGUCCAUGGUGAUCUAAAUGAAACUUUUUUUGUUGGGGAAGUGGAUGAAGCUUCUCAGCAGCUUGUUCGUUGCACAUAUGAGUGCUUGGAGAAAGCUAUUUCUAUAGUUAAACCUGGGGUUCGAUACCGUGAGGUUGGUGAAGUUAUUAGUCGUCAUGCAACAAUGUCAGGCUUCUCUGUGGUGAAAUCUUACUGUGGACAUGGCAUCGGAGAGUUAUUUCACUGCGCCCCAAAUAUUCCUCAUUAUGGAAGAAACAAAGCAGUCGGUAUCAUGAAAGCUGGACAAACUUUUACAAUAGAGCCAAUGAUAAAUGCAGGAGUAUGGCGUGACCGGUUGUGGCCUGAUGGAUGGACUGCAGUUACUGCAGAUGGUAAACGAAGUGCUCAAUUUGAGCACACACUUCUGGUAACAGAGACAGGGGUUGAGGUUUUAACAGCACGGGUGCCCUCAUCACCUGAUGUCUUCCCUUGGUUAAAGUUAAACCACCCUUAACCAUGUUUGGUUCUGCUAUGGGCUGCUUUUCCUGGAGCCAGUCAAGCCAAUUGUUCAAUUUGAAUCAACAGGCUGUUGUGCAUCUCAACCUUUGGCCCGCCAGACGUCACAUCCAUAUCCCAUGGUUUGAUAUAUAAAAGGGGUAAUUUUCUUGAUGAAUAUUUUAUAGAUGAGGUGAACUUGAUGAAUAUUUAUUGUUCUGCGGUGAACCGAAU